UUGGCAUGUAGACUUUCUCCCCAGACUAUUAUGACUGCAACAAUCACACAGCAGUGCCUUGGCAACAGGCUCCUGGCAGAGUGCUUUAGCCUGGACAUCAGCUGCCCUCUGCUUCUCUGGAGUGAGAGUUUUAUUUUCCUUCCCUUCAGUACAGUUUGCAACUACUACCCACAGUGGCCACUAAUAAAACAGUGCAAAAGAAUGUCCAGGACACCACUGCUUUCCUGGAGCAUCAGUAAUCACAGAGAUAGCAGGAGAUGAUGCUAAUUUAAGAAGACAGCACACAGCAGCUUACCAAACGUCUUCUUUGAUCACUUCUAUAUUUGUUUGUGGCUUCUUUCUCUGGAGAAAUGGAUGUGUACAUUCACUGGGAAGGCUACACUCUACUCCAGCCCCGCUCCCGGUGAACCUUCCAGUUCAACUGCUACUACAAAUACAAACAACAUACACAGAAGAUGUGCAACUGAGGCUGGGAAUCUCAUCUGUAACACAAUUAGGAGAGCUCACAGUGGCUGGAGAAUCAGUAGUGCUCUGGUCCCAAGAAGAACAGAAGGGUAUGAGCAUUUGAUCUGUGAUCUCUGCAGAGCCAUGAAGGCUCAGGAUAGUAGAGAUAUUUGCAUCUCUCUGGCACUCCUAUUCAAAACAAAGAGCUGUCAUGUUGGUGGCAACCUGGAAAAUUCAGUGAGGCCAAAACAACCAACAUGUUUAAUUACAUAUAUUUUGUGAUGCAAGAACAAGAGACAAAAGACACCCAAUGCUUUCUUUACAUCCAACUGAUGCCCAUGACAAAACUUCUCCUGCA